GGCUCAGAACGAACGCGGGCGGCGUGCCUAACACAUGCAAGUCGCGCGAGAACGGGGGGGGCAACUCCCCUAGUACAGCGGCGCACGGGUGAGUAACACGUAGGUGACCUACCCCUCAGCCUGGGACAACCUACCGAAAGGUGGGCUAAUACCGGAUAUGACCACGGAGGCUACGGCCUCUGCGGUGAAAGGUGGCCUCUGCUUGCAAGCUACCACUGAAGGAUGGGCCUGCGCGCCAUUAGCUAGUUGGCGGGGUAAUGGCCCACCAAGGCUCUGAUGGCUAGCUGGUCUGAGAGGAUGGCCAGCCACACUGGGACUGAGACACGGCCCAGACUCCUACGGGAGGCAGCAGUGGGGGAUAUUGCGCAAUGGGCGAAAGCCUGACGCAGCGACGCCGCGUGGGUGAUGAAGGCCUUCGGGUCGUAAAGCCCUGUCGAGGGGGAAGAACGGGCCGCGGUCGAAUAGGCCGCGGUCGUGACGGUACCCCUAAAGGAAGCACCGGCUAACUCCGUGCCAGCAGCCGCGGUAAUACGGAGGGUGCGAGCGUUGUUCGGAAUCACUGGGCGUAAAGCGCGUGUAGGCGGCUCGUUUAGUCUGGUGUGAAAGCCCGGGGCUCACCCCCGGAAGAGCACUGGAAACUGGCGAGCUCGAGUCCCGGAGAGGAGAGUGGAAUUCCUGGUGUAGCGGUGAAAUGCGUAGAUAUCAGGAGGAACACCGGUGGCGAAGGCGGCUCUCUGGACGGUGACUGACGCUGAGACGCGAAAGCGUGGGGAGCAAACAGGAUUAGAUACCCUGGUAGUCCACGCUGUAAACGAUGAGCACUAGGUGUCGCGGGUAUUGACCCCUGCGGUGCCGCAGCUAACGCAUUAAGUGCUCCGCCUGGGGACUACGGCCGCAAGGUUAAAACUCAAAU
rnacentral:rRNA from 1 species